rnacentral:rRNA from 1 species
GAGUUUGAUCAUGGCUCAGAUUGAACGCUGGCGGCAGGCCUAACACAUGCAAGUCGAGCGGAUGACGGGAGCUUGCUCCUUGAUUCAGCGGCGGACGGGUGAGUAAUGCCUAGGAAUCUGCCUGGUAGUGGGGGACAACGUUUCGAAAGGAACGCUAAUACCGCAUACGUCCUACGGGAGAAAGCAGGGGACCUUCGGGCCUUGCGCUAUCAGAUGAGCCUAGGUCGGAUUAGCUAGUUGGUGGGGUAAUGGCUCACCAAGGCGACGAUCCGUAACUGGUCUGAGAGGAUGAUCAGUCACACUGGAACUGAGACACGGUCCAGACUCUACGGGAGGCAGCAGUGGGGAAUAUUGGACAAUGGGCGAAAGCCUGAUCCAGCCAUGCCGCGUGUGUGAAGAAGGUCUUCGGAUUGUAAAGCACUUUAAGUUGGGAGGAAGGGCAGUAAGUUAAUACCUUGCUGUUUUGACGUUACCGACAGAAUAAGCACCGGCUAACUCUGUG